UACGUAGGGGGCUAGCGUUGUCCGGAAUCAUUGGGCGUAAAGAGCGUGUAGGCGGCCCGGUAAGUCCGCUGUGAAAGUCGGGGGCUCAACCCUCGAAUGCCGGUGGAUACUGCGGGCUAGAGUGCGGAAGAGGCGAGUGGAAUUCCCGGUGUAGCGGUGAAAUGCGCAGAUAUCGGGAGGAACACCAAUGGCGAAGGCAGCUGCGCUGGGACGGUACUGACGUGGCGUACAGACGGCGAAAAGCAUGGGGAGGCGAAAGCAGGG
rnacentral:rRNA from 1 species